GUCGUCGGCAAGUCCGUGGAGCGUCUUAAGUCGCGAUUUCACAGCAAGCUAUCAGCGACUGACGACAGACAACUAGCGAGCCAGGGAAUAGGAGUAAGGGAACGGGCUGCAGUGGAUGUUCCGAAAGUAGGAGAGGAGGAAGCACGUACCCACUUACCUACGGCGUAUCAAUCACCUAUCGCGUAUUCACCACGGGCAGCUAAUCACG
rnacentral:misc_RNA from 1 species